GCCUAUCAUUCAGUUGGGCACUCUAGCGAGACUGCCGGUAAUAAACCGGAGGAAGUGGGGAUGACGUCAAAUCAUCAUGCCCCUUAUGACCUGGGCUACACACGUGCUACAAUGGUUGGUACAACGAGUUGCGAGUCGGUGACGGCGAGCUAAUCUCUUAAAGCCAAUCUCAGUUCGGAUUGUAGGCUGCAACUCGCCUACAUGAAGUCGGAAUCGCUAGUAAUCGCGGAUCAGCACGCCGCGGUGAAUACGUUCCCGGGCCUU
rnacentral:rRNA from 1 species